GCCCAGAUAGCUCAGUUGGUAGAGCACACCCUUGGUAAGGGUGAGGUCGGCGGUUCAAAUCCGCUUCUGGGCUCCA
rnacentral:tRNA from 1 species